AUGAUGAUAGAGAUCAUACUGAGAAAGAGGAUAAUUCUAUACGGGUACAACUCUUAUUUGAACGAAGUGCAAAAAAUGCGAUCUUUUUUGUCUAAUAGAACAAACACUAAUACCUUAAUUGAGUCGGUAAAGAUCAAAUCUGUUUAUCAAAGUGCUUCUCUGAUUGCUCAAGACAUCUCUUUUCAACUGAGGCACAAUCCAAUCUCAUUUCGUUCCAUUUUUAGUAAAAUAGUGAAGGAUAUUCCAUUAAUAAUGCCAAAAGGGGUCGAGGGGAUACGUAUUUGUUAUUCUGGUCGAUUAGGGGAUGCGGAAAUAGCUAGAACUGAAUGCGGAAAGUAUGGAAAAACAUCUUGUAAUGUAUUUAACCAGAAAAACGAUUAUGCUCCCGCAGAAGUAUCUACUCGUAACGGAAUUUCAGGUGUCAAAGUGCGGAUCUCAUAUAGUCAAAAUAAGAAGGGACGUGCUAUAUCCGAAUCGUACAAAAUAUAG
rnacentral:rRNA from 1 species